AUCUCUGGCUGUGAAGACCCGGGACCCCUACCCAAAUGUGGGACACUGCCUCCGUUAGGGUUAUGUCAGAACGAACUGCCCGGCCUGGGCCCCGUUCACAUCUCACAUCUGAGAUUGUAACAUCGACUGUGCCUAGGAUAUUGCCUGGAGACACCUGACAACAGAAAGCCUAUGGUUUUCAUCUAGGAUUGGGAGUUACCCCAACACCAGCAGGAUG